UACGGAGGAUGCAAGCGUUAUCCGGAAUGAUUGGGCGUAAAGCGUCCGCAGGUGGCUAUGUAAGUCUGCUGUUAAAGAGUGAGGCUCAACCUCAUAAGAGCAGUGGAAACUACAUGGCUAGAGUGCGUUCGGGGCAGAGGGAAUUCCUGGUGUAGCGGUGAAAUGCGUAGAGAUCAGGAAGAACACCGGUGGCGAAGGCGGUUUUCUGGACAGAAACUGACGCUGAUGCGCGAAAGCUAGGGGAGCAAACAGG
rnacentral:rRNA from 1 species